UUUUAACUCAGUGGUAGAGUAAUCCCAUGGUAAGGCAUAAAUCCUCGGUUCAAAUCCAAUAAGGGGCU
rnacentral:tRNA from 1 species